UACGUAGGGACCAAGCGUUGUUCGGAUUUACUGGGCGUAAAGGGCGCGUAGGCGGCAUGACAAGUCACUUGUGAAAUCUCCGGGCUUAACUCGGAACGGUCAAGUGAUACUGUCGCGCUAGAGUGCGGAAGGGGCAAUCAGAAUUCUUGGUGAGCGGUGAAAUGCGUAGAUAUCAAGAGGAAUACCUGAGGUGAAGACGGGUUGCUAGGCCGACACUGACGCUGAAGCGCGAAAGCCAGGGGAGCAAACGGG
rnacentral:rRNA from 1 species